AUACCAAUCACUUAGGAAUCUUGUUAAAAAUGCAGAUUUUGAUCCAGUAGAUUUGGGGUGGGGCUUGAGAUUCUGCAUUUCUAACAAGCUUCUGUUUGAUACCUAC
rnacentral:pre_miRNA from 1 species